GAUGAAGAACGUAGCGAAAUGCGAUAAGUAAUGUGAAUUGCAGAAUUCAGUGAAUCAUCGAAUCUUUGAACGCACCUUGCGCCCUUUGGCCAUUCCGAAGGGCAUGCCUGUUUGAGUAUCAUGAACACCUCAACUCUUCAUGGUUUUCCGUGAUGAGCUUGGACUUUUGGGGUCUUGCUGGCCUAUGGUCAGCUCCUCUAAAAUAAAUCAGCUUGCCAGUGUUUGGUGGGUAUCACAGGUGUGAUAACUAUCUACGCUUGUGGUUUUCCACCAGGUAACCUUCAGCAGUGGAGGUUCGCUGGAGCUCACAGAUGUGUCUCUCCUCAGUGAGGACAGCUCUUUGAAUGUUUGAUCUCAAAUCAGGUAGGACUACCCGCUGAACUUAAGCAUAUCAAUAAGCGGAGGA
rnacentral:misc_RNA from 1 species